GCAAGGGUGCAGCUCAGAGCUAGAGCGCGUGCUUAGUGUGCAUGAGGUCCUGGGUGCAAUCCCCAGUCCUUCCA
rnacentral:tRNA from 1 species